AGAGUUUGAUCCUGGCUCAGGACGAACGCUGGCGGCGUGCCUAAUACAUGCAAGUCGAGCGAGCUUGCCUAGAUGAUUUUAGUGCUUGCACUAAAUGAAACUAGAUACAAGCGAGCGGCGGACGGGUGAGUAACACGUGGGUAACCUGCCCAAGAGACUGGGAUAACACCUGGAAACAGAUGCUAAUGCCGGAUAACAACACUAGACGCAUGUCUAGAGUUUGAAAGAUGGUUCUGCUAUCACUCUUGGAUGGACCUGCGGUGCAUUAGCUAGUUGGUAAGGUAACGGCUUACCAAGGCAAUGAUGCAUAGCCGAGUUGAGAGACUGAUCGGCCACAUUGGGACUGAGACACGGCCCAAACUCCUACGGGAGGCAGCAGUAGGGAAUCUUCCACAAUGGACGAAAGUCUGAUGGAGCAACGCCGCGUGAGUGAAGAAGGGUUUCGGCUCGUAAAGCUCUGUUGGUAGUGAAGAAAGAUAGAGGUAGUAACUGGCCUUUAUUUGACGGUAAUUACUUAGAAAGUCACGGCUAACUACGUGCCAGCAGCCGCGGUAAUACGUAGGUGGCAAGCGUUGUCCGGAUUUAUUGGGCGUAAAGCGAGUGCAGGCGGUUCAAUAAGUCUGAUGUGAAAGCCUUCGGCUCAACCGGAGAAUUGCAUCAGAAACUGUUGAACUUGAGUGCAGAAGAGGAGAGUGGAACUCCAUGUGUAGCGGUGGAAUGCGUAGAUAUAUGGAAGAACACCAGUGGCGAAGGCGACUUUCUGGACUGUACCUGACGCUGAGGCGCGAAAGCGUGGGUAGCGAACGGGAUUAGAUACCCCGGUAGUCCACGCCGUAAACGAUGAAUACUAGGUGUAGGAGGGGAUCGCCUCCUUCUGUGCCGCAGCAAACGUAAUAAGUAUUCCGCCUGGGGACUACGGUCGCAAGACUAAAACUCAAAGGAAUUGACGGGGACCCGCACAAGCGGUGGAGCAUGUGGUUUAAUUCGACGCAACGCGAAGAACCUUACCAGGGCUUGACAUCCCUCGCUACCUGCGGAAACGUGGGGUUCUGCCAGUUUACUGGCGGACGAGGAGACAGGUGGUGCAUGGUUGUCGUCAGCUCGUGUCGUGAGAUGUUGGGUUAAGUCCCGCAACGAGCGCAACCCCUACGUCCAGUUGCCAGCACGUUAAGGUGGGAACUCUGGAGGAACUGCCGGUGACAAACCGGAGGAAGGUGGGGAUGACGUCAAAUCAUCACGCCCUUUAUGUUCUGGGCUACACACGUGCUACAAUGGCCGGUACAGAGGGCGGCGAAGCCGCGAGGUGGAGCGAAUCCCAAAAAGCCGGUCUAAGUUCGGAUUGCAGGCUGCAACCCGCCUGCAUGAAGUCGGAAUCGCUAGUAAUCGCGAGUCAGCAUAUCGCGGUGAAUACGUUCCCGGGUCUUGUACUCACCGCCCGUCA
rnacentral:rRNA from 1 species